GGUUUUUUACAUGUAGGAUUUUGUCAUCUACAAACAGGAAUAAUUUUACUUUUGCUUAUUUGGAUGCAUUUUAUUCCUUUUCUUGUCUGAUUCUCUUGCUAGUACUUUUAAUACUGUGUUAAACAGAAGUGGUGAGAACAGACAUCUUUGCCUUAUACCAGAUCUUAAAGGAAAUGCUUUCAGAUUUUUGCCAUUGAUUAUGAUAUUGUACACGUUUGAUGGAUGAAUUCUGUGGUAUGUCAAUUAUAAAUCAAUACAUUCUACUUAAAUAAAUAUGAAAGCAAUUUGGCCAGGUGUGGUGGCUCAUGCUUGUAAUCCCAGCACUUUGGGAGGCUGAGGUGGGUGGAUCACUUGAGGUCAGGAGUUCGAGACCAGCCUGGCCAGCAUGGCAAACUCUUUUCUCUACUAAAAAUACAAAAAUUAGCUGGGCGUGAUGGCACAUGCCUGUAGUCCCAGCUACUCGGGAGGCUGAGGCAGGAGAAUCGCUUGAACCCAGGAGGUGGAGGUUGCAGCUGAGCCGAGAUCACGCCACUGCACUCCAGCUUGGGUGACAGAGCAAGACUCUGUCUCAAAAAAAAAGCAAUCUAACCCACAGAACUAGAGAUGAGUAGGAGUGAAAAAAGAAUAUGUUCAGUUUAUUCUGGAAGAUUCAUAAAAGGUGAGUUUGAUGCUACAGCUUCCUGUGUGUAAAACCUUUAGAAGUCUCUAGUUCUUCCCAUCUUCCUCCCUGGCUUGCCUGACCUCGCGCCUGCCUUCUUCUGCAGCAUAAUUUCCUCCACUCCAGACUCCUGCUCUUCCCUCCGGCUGUAGCGAGCAUCUCUGUGCCUCUCCAAGGCGGUUCACCUCCUGUGAGCAUCUCUGUGCUUCUCCAAGGUGUUUCACCUUCUGUGCCCAGAUACUUCCCCAUGUGCACUUUUCUUUGCUUAAAAUACUUCCUUUCCCCAUCUUCUUUUCCCACACCCUUCCCCAUCUUGAAUAAAUCCUACCCAUCUUCAGACCUGUGCUUCUUUUGGCCUUCCCAUCACCACCUUCCUCACACUUCCCCACGGGCUGUACCACUUUUCUUGUCCUCCAGUGGACCCAGUCAGCCUUGAGGAAGGGCCCUGCGACUCUGUCAAGCCCACUACGCAGGGCAUGGUGGUGCACGCCCAGUGCCCGGAUCACGCUGUGGUGCGCAGGACUAUCCACUAUGACAGCAGCCCAUUGUUUUGGUGGUGGUCGUUCAUGUGUUCUUGCGGUCUCUUUUGAACUUAAAGGGGGGGUUCUUAUUUCUAGCAAAACAUGUCUGGUUAUUCGUCUCCUUUAAUACAAACUUAAAUAGGCUUUCAUUUCUUUCUUCUACAGUAUAAGACAUGUCAUUCUUUCAUGACUUGGUUCCCAUUUGUUAUGAAAAUUUUCCUCUCAAGUGUUUUCCUCAAGUGAGAGGUUGAAAAUUUGGAAGUCUGGAGUCUGGUCCUCAGUUCUAAUCUGGUAAGAUUAGCAGUGAUAUUUAAACUCUGUCUGCGUUUGUGCACCUCGAGAUGAGUUCUUUCCUCUUUUCAUGCUGCAGCUAACAGGGGAUGUCAACCAUUUCACUAUCUCCCAGUGACGGGAUUUUAACAAACAGGAAUGAAUAUUAAUUUAGUUAUCUGGUAAUGACGGUAUUAUGGUUGUUGUGUUUAAAGCAUACACAUUAAUGAAAGCCCACAUUUUCACUGGAUUGCAAAGAAUAUGGCUGUGUAAAGCAUGGCUCAAUAUUUUGUAGGUGAGUCUACCAUUUAACUAUAUUUCAAAUGGAUUUCUGGGCAAUUCACAGAACAUCCCAGGUCCCUGGGUUUGCAUCUCUGGAGGUUGUGAGUCGCUUAUCCGUAGUAUAGGGUGACAGAACCAGAAAGGGCUGGGGUGUGCUUUGUGGAGGAGUUUCUGACAGCCUGUAUUUACCCAUUGGAUGUAUAUGCACAUCUUCCUAAGCAUUCAUUUAGCUGACAGUCUGGGAAAUGUCAGCGUUCUAAUUAACUCCAGCUAGAGAAGGUUGUGCUGCAAUCUGAAAUCCCUUUGAUUGAUAUGGCUGCAAUUAGAGCUCAGCUCCCUCUCAGCACACUGAAGUGGAGAGAGAGUGAGGAACAGGCGUCACGGGGCUCUCUGCAGAGCAGAGCUCCAUUCUGUAUCCAUAGCUGGGAGGUAAUGUGUGAAGGGAGAUGCCUGAUUGCCUCAUCCAACCUUCCCCACGCUCCCAAAUUGAGGAAUUUAUUACUUUUGUUAGAAUAAAAAAGAAAUGUACAUUACCCUUUGCUUGUGUAGCUAUUGCUUUAUUAAGGGGAUUUGGGGACCUUUGAAGGUCAUUAUGUUAAAUCGAAUAGAUGUUUUCCCUCAUUUUUAUGAAGUAUAUUGACAGGAGGGCCCUUAUUUAUAUUUAUCUUAAAACAAACUUAUAAGUGCCAUGUGUAAAUUUGCGUGAUCAAAAUGACAGGAAUAAGGAUACAAGUUAGAUUUUUAGGUAAUUUGAAUAGAUGCUCAUAGACCAAAUAGAAAGUCUUUUUUUGAGAAUCAAAUUUAGCAGAUCAAAAUUCUUUGAUUACCUACUCUGUGCCAGGAACUAUGGUAAUGUCGAGAGCUACAAAGAAAAACACCACACUGCCUUUGACCUAAGGAGGCAUGGAAAGGCACGGGUAAAGAAACCCAACGUGUACGGGCACUGGCACUAGUGGAGAGCUAGGUGAGACAUCAGCCAGUGGAGGGGAAGGAGUGGUCAUCCUGUUGGGAAAACCAGGAGAUUCCAAGAGGAGGGACCAUUGAAUUGGUCUCUGAUGCUUGAGAAUAAUUUCAAUAAGGGAAGAACUGGGGCAAGGGGCUUCCAGGCUGAACACAGGCUUGGCCGUGAAGAACGUUUGUGGUGAGUUUGGACCACAGCUGUGUGGCCAGUGUCCUGGAAGGUGGGAGUUGAGAAAGGAUUCAGUGUUGGGGCUGGGGGUGACGGCGGCUGCAAAGAUAGAAUGACCAGAUUGCACAGGGCUGGGCGCACAUGGCUUUGCCACUUUGUUUUCUGAUGCUGGUAGUAGGAAAUUAUUGCAGGAUUUUGAUUGAGAAGUUCAUGAACUGAUCUAUGUUUUAGGCAGGCAACCUCAUCCCUGUUGUAGAUCCAGGAGAAAUUGGAGGAAGGAGAACCAGUGAAGACAUCAUCGUGAUUGAACUGAUGGGAAAUUAUUAGUCUGGAUUAGACUAUUAUUCUUUUUUUCCCCACUCAGGCUGUCCCAAUUGCUGCUUUUGGUGGAACUGAUUGGCUAGGCUGGGAUAGAGGAGUCAAACGGUGUACUCAGACAAUCUAGUCGUAAUACGGAGACUGGCCCCUCCUUCAGCUCCCAAACCCUAUUAAAGAUAAGGAAACUUAUAUUCCUAGUCCUUAGAAAGCAGAGUUCCAAUUAACCAAAGAAAGGGGACACAGACAAGGAAAACAUUGAGCCCAUGUUCCAGUUCUGAAAGUCAGCAAAAUGCUCCACAUUUACCGAAGAACUGGGAUCCUCCUCCUGUGGCUCCUCCAAGGUCAGUACUGGGGUUCCCAGGUGAGGGGCAGCCUCAAAGCACACUCUUUUCUAAUCUGCUGAAACACAUAGGUGAAAGUUGUGCUGUUUUGAAGUUGUGAAGGUUAAAUUUAUGUGUCAGUGUUACUGGGCUGCAGAGUGCCCAGACAGUUGGUUAAACCUUAUCCUGGGUGCUUCUACAUGAAGUCAGCAUUUGGGUCAGUGGGCUGCCUCCCUAGUGAGUGGGCCUCAUCCAUUCCACUGAAGGCCUGAACAGAACAAAAGACUAAGGAAGAAAGAACUCCCUCUCUCUGCCUACCUGUCUUCAGGCCGGAAUACUGGCCGUCUCCUGUCUUAGGACCCAGAUUGAACUGGAACAUACACCAUUGGUUCUCCUGGUCUCUAGCCUGCUGACUGCAGAUCUUGGUCUUCUCGGCUUCCAUAAUCAUGUAUAAAUUCCUCAUAGUACAUCUCGCUUCCCCCCCUUCACGCACACACACAUGGACAUGCAUACACAUAUGCCUGUUAGUGUGUGUGUGUAUAUGUAUAUAUAUAUGAAUAUGUAUAUUUAUCUCCUAUUGGUUGCUUUUUCUGGAGAACCCAGACUAACAUAGAAGUUACAUUUCUAUUUAAAAAUUUUAAUACUUUACCGUUUUUAUAUAAAUAAUACAUACGUUAAGUCCAACAGAGCUUAAAGGUAAACAAACAAAAAAGCAUACAUAUUAGAAAAAGAAUCAAGCAACCUAGAAGAGAACAGAAAUGAUAUCCACAAAUCUUGCUUAGUAUCCUAAAUAUCCUAACAUAGUAUUCUAAGGCUACAGAAACUAUGAAACAUUCAAUGAGAUUGGAAUUAUUAUAUUUCUAAUCCCAUGUUUUAAUUUUAGAUGUCUUCAACUUCUGGCUAUGAAAGACGAGAGGAUUAAUUUUCUUACUGCCAAAUUCCCUCUCUUCCCCUCUGCCUUUGUAUUUGUAAUGCCAGUGUAUAAGCAUUGUUAAGGUUUCUAACAUUUGCAGAAUUUCCACAUUUGUUUAAUAUUAUAUUAAUAGAUGUGAUAAGACCAACAUUACAAAUUAAUAGUAUCUUAUGAGCUUUUUAAGGAUGGUGCGGAUAGCAAUUUCAUCUUAAUUUUCAGAGCAAUUGAUUUUUUUGUAUUUUACUUUUAAUUCCAAAGGAGUUUGCUUCUCAUGAUCAAAUUUCAGGGGAAAGAUAUGCCUAUGAACUAAUAAGCUUAAUUUUAUGUUUGAUUUAUGAAUAUAUUAUAUAUAUAUUUGUUAUUUCCCCUGAAAUCCUGUCCUAAGUUCCAUAUGAUUUCUUAGAUAAUUGAGUCAGACUGCUAAUUUUUGCAUUCUAUCUUAUCAUUUCUUCAAGUGUAGGUUUCCCAUAGUAAGUACAUCCACAAAAAUAUUUGGAGGCUCUAAAAUUAUUUGGAGAGAAAUAACUUAAAAGAAUGUUAACUUUGGCCAUAAUAGACUAGCAAUGAAGCUUAUUUUUUGCUGGAAAUCAUCAAAGGCCAUGAAUGAAAUUUUACUUGUUAAUUUGUAAAAAAAUACUUAAUUUAGGCUAACAUACUUUUUAAGGACAUAAGAUUUAAGCAUAUUAUUUCUAAAUCUCAUAACAACCUAGAAGUAUAGCUGUUAUCUUACUGGUUAGGGAAGGGCCCAGCUGUGAGUGACAGCCAGUGACAGUGGUGUAAUGAAGUGAGGUGGCUUUUCUCAUGGAGCAGCAGGUCAAAGGUGAGUAAUAUGGGGUAGUGUAGCUGCUGUGCAAUGCCUUCCUGGAUUUUGGGUUUCCUGUCUUGAUGGUUCUUUAUCCUCAUGCUUGUCACCUCAUGGUCUCAACAUGGCUGCUGCAACCUCAGCCAUCUUGUCUGUAUUCCAGGAAGAAAUUGGAGGGCAGGGCCUAGGGACAAGGGGCCUUCCAGCAGAUGCUUCUUCCUCUUAGAAAAGCAAAAGCCCCAAUCAGUCAGCUUCUUGUCUUGUUGCUGUGUCCAGAGUGGUGCCUUGAAGGCUUCUUCCCAGCUUCUUAUUCCUAGCUGGAAAGGUGGCUUCGAAUUUCUUUCUUUUCUAUGAUGUUUCUAAAGUCUCCAUUGUGUUUGCUGGGAUAAGAUAGUUGACCUAAUUUUGGGGACUUCUAAAUAAAGUUUUCUCUAGACAAAGAGGUAAUAACUGAGAAGGAUUCUCUUAAAAAAAAAGAAUAGCAAUUUAGUGAAUUACAGAACAUAGCUGGAAAAAUAAUAAUGUCCAAACAUGAAGUAGUCUGUGAUCUUUACCUGUAGUUUUAAUGUCGAGGACUUGUGGUUCUGCUAUCUCCAGGAGACUUUUUUGUCUAUAUCUUCACUUCUCAAUGCCAUUUCUCCUGCUGUAACUUUGGUGAAGCUGCUUAUGUCAGAAGACAUGUGGGGAAAAGGAAUGCAUGGAUUGGUUUGUUUUUUGUAAUUGGCUGUUAACAGCCUGAGGUGACAAGGGGAGGGAUGAAGCUCUGCAGAGCCAUGUGCAUGCCCAUGAGCCCGGCACAUGUGCUGCACUGGUUUCUCUGAUGGUCUCAAUUCUCCACUCCAGCCUGUGCACAUGCUUUUGUUAAUGUUACUCGCAUCUUUUUCUAUCAAAAGAUGGAAACUAUUUCUCCACCCCUGGAAUUCUGGGCUGGCCUUAAGACUUGCUUCGAUCAAUAGCAAUGAUGAAAGUGACAGUAUUCACAUUCUGGAUUUUGGUCUCAGGAAGCCUUUCAUGCCUCUGCCUUGACCACGAGAACAAGUCCAGGCCAGCAUGCUGGAGGAAGAGAGACAACACGGAGCAGAGCCCAGGCCAUCCUUGGCCAGUCAACACCAUCUAACCCCAAAUGUGUGAGGGACCCUGGCCAGGACCAGCAGAACCACUCAACUGACCCACAGACUGAGGAACAGUUCUACUGAUGAAUUCAUUUAACUUUGACCUGGGAAGAAAAGUCAUAAAUUCACAUCCAUGAACAGGAGGAGAAGAAGGGUAACUGCUAUAGAGACUGCACAGUGAUGACCCCUGCAUGCAUUUUUCAGUCAACAAGAGCAUCUCGUGACUUCUGAAGAGGUGCUUGCUUCCCCUUCUCCUUCUGCCAUGACUGUAAGUUUCCUGAGACCUCCCAAUCGUGCUUCCUGUUACACCUGCAGAACUGUGAGUCAAUUAAACCUCUUUUCUUCAUUAAGAAGUACGAGUCUCAGGUAGUUCUUUAUAGCAGUGUGAGAAUAGACUAAUACAGGUUGCUUUCAUUUUUUGGCUAUCGUGCUAUGCUGCUAUAAUUGGUGUACAAGUUUUUGUAUGAACAUAUGGUUCCAUUAUUCUUGGGUGUAUAACCUGAAAUGCAAUUACUGAGUCAUAUGCUAACUCUAUGUUUAACUUUUUGAGGACUGGAAAACUGUCUUCCACAGUGGCUACACCAUUGCACACUCCUACUAGCAAAGUAUGAGCUCUCCAAAGACUUCAUACAUUGAAUCUACACAUUCUCUUCAACAGUUGUUAUUAUUUUUUUAUUAUAGCCAUCCUAGUGAGCAUAAUAUGGUAGGUCAUUGUGGUUUCAAUAUAUAUUUUUCUAUUGACCAAGGAUAUUGAGUAUCUUUUCAUGUGCUUAUUGGACAUUUGUAUAUCCUCUUUGGAGAAAUGCCUAUUCAAAUCCUUUGCCUAUUUUUCAUUUGGGUUGUUUGUUUUUCUUUAUUUUGUUGGUUUACACAAGUCCUUUAUUCUUAACACUAGACAAUUGUCAGAUUUAUGACAUUCAAACAUGCAAAUAUGUUCUCACAGUCUGUGGGUUACUUUUCUACUUUCUCAACAAUGUCCUGUGACACACAAAAGUUUUACAUUUUGGUGACAUACAAUUUAUCAAUUUUUUUCUCUUGUUCUAUUUGCUUUUAAUGUUAUAUUUAAGAAACUGUUGCCUAGUUGAAGGGCAUGAAGAUUUACAUCUAUGUAAUAUACAAUUGUUUAUUUCUCGUAUUGAUAUUGUGUAUCUGCUUUUUUUUCACUAUCGGUCUUGCUAGGGAAUUAUUAAUCUUAUUUGCCUUUAAAAAUUAACUUUGGGCUCUUUUUCUAUUCUAUUCAUUAUGCUUUCUAUCCUUAUUUUUAUUAUUUUUUUUCUACUUUUAUGGGUAUCAUAUGCAGUUUUUUAAAGAUAGCUUCUUACAAUGGAUUUCUAAUUAAUUGAUUUUCAAUAUUACUUCUAUUGUAAUGUAUGCAUUUAUAAAUUUUCCUCUAAGCACUGUGUCAGCUAUACAUCAAGUUUUGAAACAUUGUAUUUUCCUUUCCAUCCAGUUAGCGUAUGUUCUCAAUUUCUUUGUAAUUUCUUCUCUUCUCAUGAUUUACUUAGUAAUGUAUUGUUUAAUUUCUAAAUAUUUGGAAAUUUUCUAGUUAUUUUCUAGUUAUCAUUAUUGAUUUCUUGCUUGAUCUCACUGUGGUUAUAGAACACAUUAAAUCAUUUAAAAUGUGUUUAGAGUUGCUUUUUCGUCCAUAAUAUAAACAAUUUUUUAAAUAUUCUAUGUGAAUUUGAAAAGUUGAGUCUAUUUUGAUAACUGUG